AACGAACGCUGGCGGCAGGCCUAACACAUGCAAGUCGAGCGAGGACUUCGGUUCUAGCGGCGGACGGGUGCGUAACGCGUGGGAAUGUGCCCUUCUCUACGGAAUAGCUCUGGGAAACUGGGACUAAUACCGUAUACGCCCUACUGGGGAAAGAUUUAUCGGAGAAGGAUCAGCCCGCGUUGGAUUAGGUAGUUGGUGGGGUAAUGGCCUACCAAGCCGACGAUCCAUAGCUGGUUUGAGAGGAUGAUCAGCCACACUGGGACUGAGACACGGCCCAGACUCCUACGGGAGGCAGCAGUGGGGAAUCUUAGACAAUGGGCGCAACCCUGAUCCAGCCAUGCCGCGUGAGUGAUGAAGGCCUUAGGGUUGUAAAGCUCUUUCAGGUGGGAAGAUAAUGACGGUACCAGCAGAAGAAGCCCCGGCUAACUCCGUG
rnacentral:rRNA from 1 species